rnacentral:rRNA from 1 species
UGGCGGCAGGCCUAACACAUGCAAGUCGAGCGGCAGCGGAAAGUAGCUUGCUACUUUGCCGGCGAGCGGCGGACGGGUGAGUAAUGUCUGGGGAUCUGCCUGAUGGAGGGGGAUAACUACUGGAAACGGUAGCUAAUACCGCAUAACCUCGCAAGAGCAAAGUGGGGGACCUUCGGGCCUCACGCCAUCGGAUGAACCCAGAUGGGAUUAGCUAGUAGGUGGGGUAAUGGCUCACCUAGGCGACGAUCCCUAGCUGGUCUGAGAGGAUGACCAGCCACACUGGAACUGAGACACGGUCCAGACUCCUACGGGAGGCAGCAGUGGGGAAUAUUGCACAAUGGGCGCAAGCCUGAUGCAGCCAUGCCGCGUGUGUGAAGAAGGCCUUCGGGUUGUAAAGCACUUUCAGCGAGGAGGAAGGGUUAAGUGUUAAUAGCACUGAACAUUGACGUUACUCGCAGAAGAAGCACCGGCUAACUCCGU